rnacentral:ncRNA from 1 species
GUCUGUGAAGAUGUGGACUACCUGCACCUGGACAGAAAGACCUUAUGAAGCUUUACUGUUCCCUGGGAUUGGUUUUGGGCUUUUCCUGUGCAGCUUAGGUGGAAGGCGAAGAAGGCCCCCUUCCGGGGGGUCAUGCCAUCAGUGAUAUACCACUCUGGAAGAGCUCGGAUUCUAACCUUGUGUCAGACCCUCGGGCCAAGGGACAGUCUCAGGUAGACAGUUUCUAUGGGGAGUAGGCCUCCCAAAAGUUAACGGAUGCAUGCAAUGGUUUCCUCAGGCCAUACAAACAUUGGUCCUCGAGUGCAAAGGAAGAAGGGAGCUUGACUGCAAGAUUCACCCGUUGAGCAGAGACGAAAGUCGGCCCAUUUAAAUAGGUGUCAAGUGGAAGUGCAGUGAUGUAUGCAGCUGAGGCAUCCUAACGAACGAGCGAUUUGAACCUUGUUCCUACAUG